rnacentral:rRNA from 1 species
CGUAGGGAGCAAGCGUUGUCCGGAAUCAUUGGGCGUAAAGCGCGCGUAGGCGGCCCUGUAAGUCCGUUGUGAAAGUCAAAGGCUCAACCUUGAAGCCGAUGGAUACUGCAGGGCUAGAGUCCGGAAGAGGCGAGUGGAAUUCCUGGUGUAGCGGUGGAAUGCGCAGAUAUCAGGAGGAACACCAAUAGCGAAGGCUAGCUCGCUGGGACGGUACUGAACGCUAAGGCGCGAAAGCGUGGGAGCGAACAGGAUU